UAAAGUCUUAUUUUGUUGGGCUUUUAUAGGGUUUCAAUUAGAGCCCAAUAAUUUAAGAAUUAAAAUAAAAAGCCCAUAAUAAUGGUUAAGGGUCAGCCCCACCCACCGUCACUUCCAUUUUCUCUCUCUUCUCCUGUGUUCUUCCGCCCACCUUUAACUUCCGAUCUUCACUGAAUUUCCAGAAAUCUUUCAAAUUCAUCUCGAUUCUUCCUACCAUUUCUUCGAAGAGAAGUGGUUUUUGCUCCUGUUCAAGCUUAGUGGGGAGAGAAAAGGUUUCGAUUAAGGUGUAACUUGUGUUGGAGUUUCAUUUUUUUUAGGCAAAGUAGAUAGCUGAAGAAUUACUGUUUCUGCUGAAAAUUUAUUCAAAAAAUUGUUGUUAAUUUCAAAUUUGUUGAUUCUAUGGGAGUUGUGUAUUCAAGGGAGAGAUCGUGUAAAAAAAAAUUUUAAAAAAAAAAAAUUAACCCAAAUACCUUUCUCUCUCCUCCAUUGAAGCGCACUCAGAGUUCUCCAUUGAAGCCGCUUCUCAGGUAUCAUCAUCAUUUUACGGGUUUAAUGAAAUUGUGCGGCUGCGAUUUGAUGAUGAAUUUAGGCUGCUGCGAUUGAGCAACGAAGGAAAUCAAUGGCUCUGAUUUGCGAUGGUGUUGGAGCUGAUGGAGAAGAGAGUGCAGCCAAGCAUUUCACGACUUCACAAAGAGGAAGAGAACAGGGGGGUGUCUGAUUGAUUUUGGGGAAUUUGGUUUUAUUUUCCUUUUUAAUUUCAUUUUAUUUAUUUUUAUUUUCCUUUUUCUUCUCUGUUUUCAAUGUGGGUAAUGGCCCGUUUCACUUUUACCUCGACCCUGACCUGCCUUAACCCUGACCUGACCCUGACCCGCUAAAUAUUCAUCUCGAUCCGCAGCCGACCCGCCCCGCUAAUGACCCCCACCGACCUGCACUGACCCGCCCAAUAACCACCUCUACCUAACAAUGAGCAAUAGCAGGGAUAUAGGACAAGAAACUUAAGGGUUGAAUUUGACAAACCUGUUAAAUAUAGCUACUAAGAAAGAAAACAUUGUAGAUGCAGUACAAGGGAUAACAAAAUUUGUAAGGCAGUUUUUGAAUCUUAUUGAUGUAGCAGGUGCAACAGCACAAUCUGAAAUUGCCCGUGAAGCUCUUAAGCGAUUAGUUGCAGCUGGUUCCAGAGUCAUAACUCACAAAGAAAACAAGAGGAAAUUGGACUUGACAAUUACAAGUACGAAAAAAUCAAGAAAAGAAAGAAAACAAAAGCAGAAGAAAAGGAUGCAGCUAUUCUUCUGUGAAAAUCGAAGACCAAAACCUAUCUUCUUCAUCAUCUUCUUCUAUUAAACUUAUCCUAUCUAAAAACAACCCUAGAAAAUCGGAUGGAUUAAGGGUAUAUUAGAAACCCCCAAAAACAUACAACAGAAGGGGUGGAAGACGAGACGAGCAGCGAACAGAGCAAUACAGUGCAAGGAGGAAGACGAAUUCAUCUGAGUUUAAUCCUUCCUCAUUCUUUUUAAUUGUUAAACUCUGAUUAAUUAUUAUGUCAAGUAUUAAUUUUUCAUUGUUAUACAAUUGGGUUGAAUUGAUUUUCAUGAAUUGUUAGGUUUCUUUGUUCUAGGUUGGAGGUGUAGUCUUCUAUUAAUUUAUCGAUGGAUUGAAGUAUUUUGUUUGGGUUUGAUUUACAUUAUUGCAAUUUGAUAAUCUUGAUUUUAAUUCGAAUAAUUUAUCUGGCCAAUUGAUUAUAUGUUUAAGGUAUUAGAUUAUUAGCGGCAUUGGCGGACUUGGGCUUAGACCUGGUGGGUCAAGUGACUCACCAGGCCCAAAAAAAAUUUUAAGUUAUUUAAAAAAAAAAAA